rnacentral:rRNA from 1 species
GACGGAUGAUUUCUUCGGAAUGAAACCAGAUAUGACUUAGUGGCGGACGGGUGAGUAACACGUGAGCAACCUGCCUUUCAGAGGGGGAUAACGGCUGGAAACGGUCGCUAAUACCGCAUGAUGUGUUCGGAUGGCAUCAUCUGAACAUCAAAGAUUUAUCGCUGAAAGAUGGGCUCGCGUCUGAUUAGAUAGUUGGUGGGGUAACGGCCUACCAAGUCUACGAUCAGUAGCCGGACUGAGAGGUUGAACGGCCACAUUGGGACUGAGAUACGGCCCAGACUCCUACGGGAGGCAGCAGUGGGGAAUAUUGCACAAUGGGGGAAACCCUGAUGCAGCAACGCCGCGUGAAGGAUGACGGUUUUCGGAUUGUAAACUUCUUUUCUUAGUGACGAAGACAGUGACGGUAGCUAAGGAAUAAGCAUCGGCUAACUACGUGCCAGCAGCCGCGGUAAUACGUAGGAUGCAAGCGUUAUCCGGAUUUACUGGGUGUAAAGGGAGCGCAGGCGGGACUGCAAGUUGGAUGUGAAAUACCGUGGCUUAACCACGGAACUGCAUCCAAAACUGUAGUUCUUGAGUGAAGUAGAGGCAAGCGGAAUUCCGAGUGUAGCGGUGAAAUGCGUAGAUAUUCGGAGGAACACCAGUGGCGAAGGCGGCUUGCUGGGCUUUAACUGACGCUGAGGCUCGAAAGUGUGGGGAGCAAACAGGAUUAGAUACCCUGGUAGUCCACACUGUAAACGAUGAUAGCUAGGUGUGGGGGGUCUGACCCCUUCCGUGCCGGAGUUAACGCAAUAAGCUAUCCACCUGGGGAGUACGACCGCAAGGUUGAAACUCAAAGGAAUUGCGG